rnacentral:lncRNA from 10 species
CGACUUGGCAGUGUGGUCAGCGGCAUGGCCUCGUAAACUCCAGCUUCUGGAAAGGAGCUGGGCCUGGGCCUGAACGAUGGUGGUAGGACCCACUGCUGGACCCGGCCAGAAGGUAGACCCUCAAUCAGGAUCUGUUCAGUGGAUUAGUGAGGAAAUCUCCAGACCCUACGCUUCACUUUUGGGGGUGGGAACCUCCCCUCCCCAACCACCUGCCACAGGGAAGGAAAUACCAUGUGUGACAAAUAGAAUACAACUAUCAAAAGAACGCGAAAUGAGCCCCAUGAACGCCAGACCUUUCAGCCAAAUUCUAUUUGUACUGGGACAAUGAAAAAGUGACUCAUUUAUCCACAGAAGAGGGAAAGGCACGACUGCUAGGCAGAAGUAGUGUGCAUCUCCCGCCUUCUGUUUUGUGCCCCGAUGUGCCUAGAAGGUCACCCCAGCCCCUCCAGCCUCUGGGGAGAAGUUGGGCCUGGGCCUGAAUGAUGACACUGGGGCCCAUUGCUGGACCCGGCCGGGCGGGUGGCAAGGGCCCUGCUGCAGACUGGACGAGAAAGGCCAGUCCUGCAGUCUGACCAGGUGUAACCUCGGGGUGCGAAGCAGCUGAAGUGGACAUCCCGGGUGCAGUUUGCUUUGAGGGGUCAUCCCGGAGCAGCAGAAAUACCAUGUGUGACCCAUUUUAGAGAUGAGGAAAUGGAAGACUCCUCUGCUCUAGGGCCCCAGUUGUUGCCCCUGCCCUACUUCUCCCGAUCAACGCUGCCUCCUUAUUCAGAAAGCUCAAGAACCGAGUCCCCAGGAAAACGACAUGUUGUUUUUUUUGGCACUAAUCAUUAUUGUUUAAUUAUCCUGGGAGGGACAAUAAGAGGGAAGGAAGAAGGAGAAGGUGAGUCUGGAGGCAGGGCGCCUUCCCCGGGGCUGUGUUCAGCACCAGCACCGAAUGCUCUGGGAUGUCUGGGCAGAGGCUCAGAGACGCAGCUUGACUCAGAGGGAAGCUUAGUCCUGGGCCAGUUUUCAAGGGUUUCCUCUGUGUUCUGGUCCUGCGGGUGGGCACUGCUUGCUGUGUUCAGACACUGAUUAGAUUAGGGCAGCUUGCCAAAGACAGGUCCCUGCUAGAGCAGCCCUUGGUGGCCAGGACAUCGUGGUUGCCUGUGCCUCGGAGCCCUGGCUUUGCCCAGGUGGUCGCUUUGCAGCAUUGUGUGGCUGGGUUGGAGGCCAGGGUGCUGCCCACACGUGGGGCUGGCUGGAGCUCGGCAGUCCAGUCACAUGACUGGUCAGGGCCUCCUCAGCUCCUCCGUGCCCAGGGAGGGAGUGGGGCAUUCCCCAGUGACCUGUCACAGGUGGCACAGUUCCUGGGAUGGGAGGCCCAGUUCCCAUAGACCUAGGGCAGAUUUUUAUCCUGUUCUCAGAUGCCCACUGCAUCCAGGAAGCUCUGUGUCUCCUGUGGAGCAGGGCUGAGGCCAUCAGCUUGAGCUCAUUUCCCUGGGGCUUGGGGGUUCGUGUGGCCCCAGUCUGUGUCUCCCAGAUCAGCUGCUCCUCUUCCCUGGUCCAUGAGCAUUAGUGGGUUCUGGUCUGCCCAGUGGGCACCUUCUUCCACAUGAAGCAGUGGAAGCAGAAGCAGUGAACACUCCGGAAGGGUCCACUGUGUGCCAGGCUCAGGGACACAAAACUAGAUCACGG